rnacentral:rRNA from 1 species
UACGUAGGGAGCAAGCGUUGUCCGGAAUCAUUGGGCGUAAAGCGCGCGUAGGCGGCCCCGUAAGUCCGCUGUGAAAGUCAAAGGCUCAACCUUUGAAAGCCGGUGGAUACUGUGGGGCUAGAGUCCGGAAGAGGCGAGUGGAAUUCCUGGUGUAGCGGUGGAAUGCGCAGAUAUCAGGAGGAACACCAAUAGCGAAGGCGGCUCACUGGCCCGGUACUGACGCUGAGGUGCGAAAGCGUGGGGAGCAAACAGG